CGGGUAUUCAGUUUGGGUUUUUUUUUUUUUUUUUUUUAUCACUGAGUGUAGUGAAGGACCGACUGCUGACUGGCUCCCUCUCCUCUCCUCAUACUCGACUCAGCAGCUCUACUUUGUCCCGUUAAGAUCCACAGGGCACAGUCAUGGAGGAAAUGGACUUCGAGCGGCGCCGGGAGCUGAGGAGGCAGAAGCGGGAGGAGAUGCGCCUGGAAGCUGAGCGGUUGGCGAGGAAUGAUGAUGAUGAGGAGGAGGCGGCCCGGGAGAGGAGGCGCAGGGCACGCCAGGAGAGGCUGAUGAGCAGGGAGAGUGAGGAGCCCAGCGGUCAGCCAGACAGUGUGGUCAUGACCAACAGCCACAGUGUGACAGAGACUGUGAGCAGGUCUUAUGGAGGAGAUGAAGAUGACCAAGCCCUGCAGGAGCGCAUGGCCAAACGCGAGGAGAGACGGCAGAGACGCAUGAAGGAGGCGCUGGAGAGACAGAGGCAGCUGGAUCCCACAGUGACUCAGGACAGCGACAGCGUCACCACAGAGAAAAACAAUGCAGAAGAGGAGAGGCCAUCCUCCUGGCGUAGGGGUCGUUACCGUGACAAUGAGGAUGAAGAGGAGAAGACAGAGAUGUACAGCUCGAGGAGAGAGGAGAAGGAGCCAGAGGAGUCAAGAGAGGAGGAGGAAGAGGCUGCUCCUGAGGGUGGAGAGGAAGCACAGGAGGGUGUAGAGGAAGAGGAGGAGCAGGAAGUGGAAGUGGAAGAAAAACCAAUAAAGUCUUACUUGAGAGAACAGGAAUCAACUGAAGAACCUAAAAUUCAAAACAAGGAGCCCACUGAAGACCCACCGAAUUCAGUAGUCAGUGAGAGAUCAAACCAGGCCAAGUCAACAAAGGAUGUAGUAGCAUCAGAGGAGGCUGAAGAGGUACCUGAGGAUGAUCAUUUAGAUUACAAGUCUAUGACACUCAGAAAUGACACAGAAGAGGACAAUGAGGUAGCUGAGAUACUACACUCAGAGGAUAAUGAGGUGAGCGAGAGAGGCAGGGCCAGGGAGGAGAGGGAGGAGCGGGGCAAGCAGAACGGGAACGGAGGCCUGUAUGAGGAGGAGGCGGCUCCUAUACAGCACAGGAAACCUGAGAGGACCCUCAGUCGCGGCAGCGUACGUUCCCCCGAGGCGUCCGCCGGUGACGACCAGGACGACGCCGCUCGCCUGGAGGCAGAGCGCAAACUAGAGGAGCUGAAGCGGCGCCGUGACGACGCGGAGAGCGAGGAGUUUGAGAGGAUGAGGCAGAGGCAGCAGGAGGCCGAAGCCGAGCUGGAGGAGCUGAAGAGGAAGAGGGAGGAGAGGAGGAAGGUGCUGGAGGAGGAGGAGAGACAGAAGAAGCAGGAGGAAGCCGAGAGAAAAACCCGAGAGGAGGAGGAGAAGAGGAAGAUGAAGGAGGAGAUUGAAAGGAGGAGAGCGGAGGCAGCUGAGAAGAGACAGAAGGUGGAGGACACUGUGGACGGGGAGGAGAGACCCUUCAAGUGCGUCAGCCCUCGAGGCUCCUCUCUGAAGAUCGGAGAGAGAGCAGAGUUCCUGAACAGGUCGGCACAGAAAAGCACAGUGAAGACGUCUCAUUCUCCUGUGGUGUCCAAGAUAGACAACAGGCUGGAGCAGUACACCUCGGCUGCUCAGAGAGAGAACAGGGAGUCUCGAUCCCCACGCUCUGGAGCAGUGGAUCUGCCCAUGGUCACCGACAGCAUACGAAGCAUCAAGAGCAUGUGGGAGAAAGGCAAUGUGUUCAGCUCACCUGGAAGUGGGGGGAGUACGUUCAAGGAAGCAGCUGUGAUGAAGACAGGCGUGGCAGGCCGCAUCAACGACUGGCUGAAUAAAACCCCGGAGAGCAGCAAGACGCCAGGAGGAAGGCCAGCGGACCUUAAGCCUGUUGAUGUCACCAACAAGAGGAAUCUAUGGGAAAACAAAGGCGCCACUCCAACCAAGCCAACAGCUGCAGUGCAGGCCGGAGGCUGUGGUCCGCCACAUUGAGUAGUGGAGCUGAAGGGCACCAGGCGGUGGUCUGCACUGACGUAAAAAGGGUCCUGGACAGGAAAGGUAGCGGUUAGCGACCUUGUCAUUAGCUAACCUCGCUAUGCUGUGAUGUCAGGGAAGGCAAGAUGAGCAGGAUAACAACUGGUGACAGGCGGAGGGGAGACCAAAUCAGUCGCCAACGGUAUGGGACACUAAUGUCAUGACGGAGCCGCUAAAGAUGGGGACCACGACAAUCCAAGACUCUUCCUUUGACUUUUGUCUUAAAAACCAAAUAAUGAUCACAUCCCCCAAGAGGGACCCCAUGAAGGCCGAGGGACAGGAGGGACACUGUCCGAGCACUGUACCAAAACAUUGUCAUUUUUUUGUACAGUUGCUACGUAUAGUGCCUUUGCACAAUGAUUUUGAUUUCUAAAAGAAACAAAUGCUGUGAAAUUAGGACAUUUGUAAUUACUAUUGCUAAUUACUUAAUUCAAUCCUGCCAGGAAGAAAAACAAAUUAAAUUUAGAUGUAUCUGUUGUUUUCCAGGCCGACGGUUUUGAUAGUGACAUCACAGACGAGUGAAAAGUUUCCACGUUCCAAAGAGAUGGGUGAAAUCAGUUCGCUCCCUCAUACAGUACAUUUCCAUCUCUUUUUUUUUUUUAAUUUAUAUUUAAAGCAAAAGCUUCACACAUUGCUAUUUUAUUCAACAUUCACCAGUUCAGGAUAGAAAUAUAAGCACUUCUAGAAUUUAGCUGAUUUCACUUUUAUUAUGUCUUACCAAUAGUGCAGCAAUGGUCUGAGUAAUAUAUGUUAGCACAUGUGAUGUUUCGAAUAUGACCUAUCAUACUGUAUCUUAUAUAACAUCUUUAUACUCCUAACAAAAGGUAUUUCUGCUUUCUUUUUUGUGUCCAGAAACUAUUCACCAACAGGCAGUUUCGGUGGUGAUAGGAGUGUUGAAUAUUGAGAAGGCCAUUAUGACUUUUAUUAUCCUUUCUGUCAUUUUAUUUAUGUUUUAAUGUGUUUUUGUCCUUUUCUGUUCUCAAACUGAUUUUGUAGCUUUUAUACCGUUUUGAUCACUUUAAAAUCUUCAGACAUUCCUAUUAAAAAGCAGGUGCACAAGUUGCCUUCGCUGCUUUAAAGCUGUAGGUUUUAUAAUAUAGGAAAUUGGCAAAUCAGCCCUUUUUUAAAUCUACCUUUAACUUCUUUAUUGCCUCUAUGCACACUCUUAUGCUCAACAAUAGUCUUAUUGAGGGCAUACAAAGUAAAAUCAGGGUGCCUAAGCAUAUAGCAAGAUACUAGUACAGUACAAGAAUAUUUACCACUAAUGUAAUUCCUCUGGCCUUAUGAUUGCAAUGAAAACAUUUAUGACAGCUAAGGUACAGUAUACGAUAGACUCAAACUCAGUAUGAUAUUUAGACUUGUGAUUUUCAUGUAUCUUUUUCACUGACAUGGUCUUAAGUAGCACAUCCCUUUCAUAGUUUUUGCACGACACAAGCUUUGAUAAGAUUAACAGUUUGCCGGGGCAUUAAAUUGAUCAAUGUUACUGCUCAAAAGUCUGACAAUCACAUUCCAUGGCUCCUGAAAAGAGCAGGGGAGCUUGACCAAAAUCCUUCAAAGUGUGAUUUAAUGUGACAUUUAUGUUGUUGUUUUUUAAUACAGUGCUUUCAUAAUGCCGUAUUGUUUCUCUUUUUUUUACAACUUUGUGUCCAUCUUAUGUUUUUUAAAGUUCUUUUAUUUGCAUAUUUAACCAGACACUUGUUGUUUGUGUAGCGCUAAGCCUAUGCAAAACACACUAUCUGUAGUCUCUCUAAACACUCCCAAUGUCAUACAAGUGGACAGUUUCCAACUGGAUGAAUGUUUUGAACAUUGUAUCCUUGACUCAACAACAGCAAUAAAGACAUUGAAGUAUU